rnacentral:rRNA from 1 species
AGAGAGAGACAUGCGCGCAUAUCAAUAAGCGGAGGAAAAGAAACUAACAAGGAUUCCCUUAGUAACGGCGAGUGAAGCGGGAAGAGCUCAAAUUUGAAAUCUUCAAGGUUUUACCUUGACGAAUUGUAGUUUAAAGAAGUGUUUUCUGCUGGAGUUUUGGUAAAAGUUCUUUGGAAUAGGACAUCAUAGAGGGUGAGAAUCCCGUAUUUGACCAUUAUUUUCAGCUUUGUGAUACACUUUCAAAGAGUCGGAUUGUUUAGGAAUGCAGUCCAAAAUGGGUGGUAAAUUUCAUCUAAAGCUAAAUAUUGGCGAGAGACCGAUAGCGAACAAGUACCGUGAGGGAAAGAUGAAAAGAACUUUGAAAAGAGAGUUAAACAGUACGUGAAAUUGUCAAAAGGGAAGCGUUUGACACCAGUGUUGUUUUCUCGAAAAUCAAUUAAAAAUGGCUCGAUUUUGUAUUGCUAGAGUCCUUAAAAGCUCACUGUACAUUUUUCGUGUCUUUUUUAAUGCACUUUUCGUUUAACAAGUCAACAUCAGUUUCUUUUGUUGUAAAAGGGUCAUUGGAAGGUGGCUUUCUUUUCGGAGAAAGUGUUUAUAGCCUUUGGCCUCUGCAAUCGAAGAGACUGAGGUCUGCAGCGUAGACUCUUCGGGGUUAGAUAGCAUUUGUGCUAAGUUAUAGCUUUUUAUAGACAACUUGUUGACUAUAAUUAGUCUUGUAGCUUACUCGCUUAUGCUAUUUUACCUACGCUUAGGAUGUUGAAGAUGUAGCACAUCAU